CUCCCUGUAAAUAAAGUAUCUUGAUGUGUUUGUUUAGAUGGAUGCGAUAUUCAACACACUUCAGCAGUUCAGACUGGAGUCUUACUACAAGCAGUUUGUCCAGUUUGGCGUAAAGGAUGCAAGAGACUUCCUGGAUAGUGUAACAGAUGAAGAUCUGGACAACAUUGGUUUAAGUCAUGUUGAGAAGAACCGCUUUUCAGCGAUGAAAAGCUUCAUUCAAAGACUCAGAGCUCCGGAGCACCCGGUUCAAACUGUGACGCCUGUGCAAAAAUCAUUGGAGCCUUUCUUUCUGCAGUACACAUACCCCAAAUGUCUUCAACCAAAACAAAUCACCGGUAAGAGCAACACAUCUUUUCAUAAUCCAUUUCUGAUCAUAAGAUGAAUUUUGGGCUACGUUGUGUUAGAAAUGAGAUGUGAUCAUUGUGCAGACGCCCACAUCCAACUGAACAGCCUCACAGCAGUUAUGUUGAACUUACAGAUAUGAAUCCAGCAGUAGACACAGUCGAGGAUCUGAUGUUGAGGAUCGGCCAUCUUGAAAGUGUUGGUAAUUCCAAAGGAGUCUGUCUCUACACAGUCGAUGGGAUGCCCUUGACAGACGAUCCCUUCUUCAACACGUGUGAGUAGACCUGAACACCUUUGUAGGUUGCUAAAUGUUAAAGUUUAUAUUGGCAAGAUUCUUUUUUUAGGUUUACUGUAGUUCUGUGUCCAACGAUGACUACAUUUGUGUUUGUGCUAUGUCACUUACAUUCCUCAGGUGGCCCGAAACACUAAAUGCUCAUUUUGCUCUGGAUGUGUAAAUAGGAAACUGCUCAUCAUGUCACUUAAAUGUUGUUUCCUCAUGAAGGGUCUUUGAAAGACAGGCAUAUUGAAAAUGGAGCUGACAUUUAUGCCAUAUUUACACCAAAGGAAAACCUGAAACAGGCUCCUCAAAUACCAAACCGAGAGGUUGCUAAAACCUAUGGAGGCGAUGUGGUUCGAUGCCACAUCAUGCUCAAGGUGUGUCUAAACUUUAUUGGUCAUGAUGCAACUAAUGAUGAUAUUAACCACUGAUACGCUAUCUGGAUAUUAUUGUGCAAGCUGAAUAUGUUUGAUUUAUGGCGCUGCUUUAAAAAACUAAUUCACUGAUCAUAUUUUAUACUGACAUUCUGGGGAUUGCAUCUCUCUUUUAAUCACACCCUCAUCAUUAAUACUUUAACUUGUUGUUACAUUUAACAAUUGUUGCUGUUAAUAAAGCAAAUCGGUGCAUUUCCAAUAAAUAGAUUUGAAUGAAAUCUUUCUAGGCGGCGCUCUGAGAGAUCAUUGUCCAUUAACCACUUUGGCUAUUUCAUUGGGUUUUUAACGUACGGUAUAAAUAUAUACAGUAUUUAUUUAAAACAAAUCUGUUCUUAAUAAUACUUUUUAUUCACUUAUUUGAUACAGGGAGACUUUGAGGUGACGGUGAAGUUGGCAAGUGACACAAUAACAAGUCUGAGACUCAAGCUGGCGAAUGAAAGUGGAAUCCCAGCUCAUGUCCUUCAUUACAAGUAACUCCAUCUCAUUAUCACACACCGUGCUGAACUUCUUCUUCUUCUUUGUCAAUACAUUCAGAUUCCAUUUCUCAUACAGUACUUCUGUUCUCCCCUGCACAGAGGGGAACACAGUGGUGGUGACACUCUGCAAAGUUGUGGGAUCUCCGAAGGGUCGACAGUUGACUUCUCUUUGUCCACCUUUUCUGAGAAGACUUUCCACGAUGAGACAUUCUUCUUUAAUGAUUUUUUGCCUUCAGUCCCACAAACCCAGAAAGGAAUCAGUGUGUUCUUGUCUUCGCUUUAUGUGCUUGUAAGUUUUAUUUCAUAAUACAUUGUCAGUACACUAUUUCAUCAUCUGUAUUCAAUUACAUUGCAUUGCACAGCGACUACAGACACACAGUGCAGUGUUGAUGACUCUUGCAUGGAGAGCAGUUUAUAUAUAAAGUCAUUUUGUCACUGUGGUUUCAGCCACGCUAGCAGCGGGGCUCUAGGAAUGGCAAUGUCAGUCUG
ensembl:lncRNA